rnacentral:rRNA from 1 species
UACGUAGGGUGCAGGCGUUAAUCGGAAUUACUGGGCGUAAAGCGUGCGCAGGCGGUUUGCUAAGACAGGUGUGAAAUCCCCCGGGCUUAACCUGGGAACUGCGCUUGUUACUGGCAAGCUUGAGUGUGGCAGAGGGGGGGUGGAAUUCCACGUGUAGCAGUGAAAUGCGUAGAUAUGCGGAGGAACACCGAUGGCGAAGGCAACUCCCCUGGGCCUGCACUGGACGCUCCAGUGCACGAAAGCGUGGGG